UCAACCUAUCUCACAAGUAAUAUUAAAAAGGUAAAAUAGUUGUUUGCAAACCAAACCAGUGAAGGCAUGAAGCAUUGAAGCUAGCUAGCUAGAAGAGGUUUGUAAGGAGUGGAGUGGGUUUGGACUGAAGAAGAGGGAGGGGAGACGACAGGGGAAGAAGAAAAUUGAUAUACUGAUCCACCGCUUCACUCUGUCACUAUCAAUUUCUUCUACAUACCAAGCCAAACUCAUCAAACACUUCACUCUAGCUUCAUCGAUAAUCACUGUAUAUCGAGUCCCAUUUUCACAACAACACAGCGAGCAACUCCUAUCCAUAACUUUUCCGAUCGAGUUCUAUGGGAGCAUCUACUGUUCACUAUCAGCUUAUUGUUUUAUUAUGUUGGCUUCUAUACACUGUAAGAAGCCACUCUCUUUGAGUCUUUGUUCUUUAAUUUGAAAUCUUUACUCGCUCGCUAUUUAACCCAGUACCGAUUGAUUGCUGAUUAGUGUUUCUUGCUUUCACCUGGAAUCUCAUCUGGGUUCCAUUUGUUUUGGGUGUUUGGAGCUUUAAUUUGGGAUUGCGAAUCUGGGCUUUGUCUUUGGUGGUUUGCAAAUUUGGUUAUUGGGUUUUGAUAUUGAUAAUUUCUGCACGGAGAUUUUCUGUGGAUUACAGAAAGGUUGGAACUGGAUUUCUUUGUUACUAUGCACUCCUGUAUUGUUAUCUGUUUCCCCUAAAUGCAUGCAAUGAAAAUGGAGUCUGAAGUACGCACUCCAAGGCCUUUGAAAAUAAAGAAAUGCAUGAAAUAAAUUAACUUCAAACAUUUUAAUGUUAAUCUUGAGUUUAAUCCAAGCCUGCAGGGCUUUGAUGAAAGCCAAAUGGCCCAAAUCUGUCAAAAGAACAACAAAUAUUACACAUUUAUACUACUGUACCUAAAAGGAUUCACAAUCACACAACUGAGACCAAAACAGAUAAAAUAGUGUAACUAAAUGGAUGGCUAGACUUUUCUUAAUCUGAAUCUCUGGGUACUACAAGCGUUGAAGAUGAUGUAGAGUCAAGGCCAUGAGAAUCUGAAAUCCUAUCUAUGGCAUCAGGUUUUGCUUAUUACUGGAGGAGGUCAAUUUCUAUGUUGAAGGUCUGUGGUUUUAUUUGCAGUCAGGCUGUCUCCUUUUCCUUCAACUCUUUAUUUGACAGCCAUUCCUAAUUUUUGAUUGAUAUAUAAAUUGUCAAAGCCAAUAAGAAAGUAGGAGAGACAGAGUUGUGUUCAUCUGAGAAAGAGCUUGAUGCUCGGGUAUGUUUUCUUACCAAGCUUUGUUAUUUCCAGAUUUAAUCUAUUAAUCGUUCUCCUGUGAUUACUUGCCUUA